UGGGCGUCUGUCGUCCGAUCCCUCGUGGGUUUUUCCAGGUUCCUGUGCUGUGUACCCGUGGAAUGGUAGUUUGGAGUCCCGUUCUCCCUAUCCGCCGGAUGCCUCCCCAGGGCUCCCGGCGGAACUCUUGGCGUGGCCCUGUGUUCCCGGCACUCUCUGCACCUUGUGGUGCUGCCGUGGUCACAUGGUGCUCUCGCCUGUCCCAUUGGAUGUGGAAGAAUCGCGUGGGCUCGGGGUGUCGGUCCCUAAUCUGUCCAUACAAAGCGUUUUGUCGCUCGACAUGCCUGACGUCCUCGCGGUGCCGCGCCCUCCCCCGUCCCCAUGUGGGCUGGUCGGGAGACGGCUCG
rnacentral:misc_RNA from 1 species